AACCUUCCAUUAAGAAUUCAUUGAUGAAUAAAUGUGAGUACUUAUAAGCCUUUAAACUACAAGAGGGAGUUAGAUUGCAAGAUUCUAGCAAUUGCUUAGCUCUCAAUUUACACCCUUAAAUUUACCAAAUGUUACUGCUUUCACUAAGUUUUUGGUCAUUGAUCACUUUACUUGUUAUUGGAGAGUCUAAGGUAUUGCUUCUUUGAGCUUGUCAUAUUAUUGUUAUCCAUACUCGCACCAACUCUUUUUGUAUUAUUGUUAUCCAUAUUUCUAUUUGGAAGCUCAUCUUCUCUUUCACAUAUAAAUUUUCCCAUAAUUACCCUUUUCUGUGUACUUGUGAUGGUAACAUUUUAUGUUUUCUUAUCUUUCUAUUUCUUUUAUUAAUCCUGGAUUUAUCCAAAAGUCAAGUAAAAAGAUCUUUAGAUUUACUAAAAUUAAGGUUGCAACUUGGGCGGUUUGGGUAGGUUGAGGGCUCACCCAAACGUAACCCAACCCAACCCAACCCAAACAUUACAUCUCCCAUCCCUACAUU
rnacentral:lncRNA from 1 species